GUGGCCAAGCACAGUGUCGAUGGCGGAUCCUUGUCCAGUGAACUGCAGCAGCUGGGGCUGCCCAAAGGUGGACCCUCUCUCCUCACGUGGUGCAGGUCCCAUUGUGCCACCUCCAGACAGGCCACACUAGUCUGAGGGCCUCCCUUCCCUGGUACCCAGCCCCCACCACUAGGUAUGUGCGCCCUCCCUAAAGCCCGCUGUGUUCACCAGCUGUGUUUGAACUCUGUCUCUGUGCAAGGCCUCAUGGAAAGCCUGAAACAGCCUGGCUUGUAGAGGGCCAGGAGACCAAAGCUUGAAGAUAGAGUGACGGUCUCCCAGAGUCCACUUAGCCUCAGCCCCAGGGCUGCGUCCAUGCUGG
rnacentral:lncRNA from 10 species